rnacentral:rRNA from 1 species
UACAGAGGUGGCAAGCGUUGUUCGGAAUUACUGGGCGUAAAGGGCGCGUAGGCGGCCUUCUAAGUCAGACGUGAAAUCCCCCGGCUUAACCUGGGAACUGCGUCUGAUACUGGGAGGCUAGAGUGCGGGAGAGGGAUGCGGAAUUCCAGGUGUAGCGGUGAAAUGCGUAGAUAUCUGGAGGAACACCGGUGGCGAAGGCGGCAUCCUGGACCGACACUGACGCUGAGGAGCGAAAGCCAGGGGAGCAAACGGG